UACGAAGGGGGCUAGCGUUGUUCGGAAUUACUGGGCGUAAAGCGUGCGCAGGCGGCCAUCCGAGUCAGUGGUGAAAGCCCGGAGCUCAACUCCGGAACUGCCAUUGAAACUGUUUGGCUCGAGUACGAGAGAGGUGAGUGGAAUUCCCAGUGUAGAGGUGAAAUUCGUAGAUAUUCGCAAGAACACCAGUGGCGAAGGCGGCUCACUGGCCCGAUACUGACGCUGAGGCGCGAAAGCUAGGGGAGCAAACAGG
rnacentral:rRNA from 1 species